rnacentral:rRNA from 1 species
GAUCCUGGCUCAGGAUGAACGCUGGCGGCGUGCUUAACACAUGCAAGUCGAGCGAAGCAAUUUAAGUGAAGUUUUCGGAUGGAUCUUAGAUUGACUGAGCGGGCGGACGGGGUGAGGUAACGCGUGGAUAACCUGCCUCACACAGGGGGAUAACAGUUAGAAAUGACUGCUAAUACCGCAUAAGCGCACAGUACCGCAUGGUAUAGUGUGAAAAACUCCGGUGGUGUGAGAUGG